UACGGAGGGUGCAAACGUUGUCCGGAAUCACUGGGCGUAAAGCGCAUGUAGGUGGUUUAUUAAGUGAGCGAUUAAAGACCGACGCCUAACGUCGGGAAGGUUGUUCAUACUGGUAGACUUGAGUAUGGCAGGGGUAAGCGGAACUUUAGGUGUAGGAGUGAAAUCCGUAGAUAUCUAAAGGAACACCAAUGGCGAAGGCAGCUUACUGGGCCAUUACUGACACUGAGAUGCGAAAGUGUGGGGAGCAAACGGG
rnacentral:rRNA from 1 species